rnacentral:rRNA from 1 species
UACGGAGGGUGCGAGCGUUGUCCGGAAUCACUGGGCGUAAAGGGCGCGUAGGCGGCGCGGGUAGUCAACGGUGAAAGCUUGGGGCUCAACCCCGAGUCGGCCGUCGAUACUCCCGUGCUUGAGCACUGUAGAGGCAGGUGGAAUUCCGGGUGUAGCGGUGGAAUGCGUAGAGAUCCGGAAGAACACCGGUGGCGAAGGCGGCCUGCUGGGCUAUGGCUGACACUGAGGCGCGACAGCGUGGGGAGCAAACAGG